UCGUUAACGCCAACAGGAAUACCAAAUAGUCGUUCUAAAGUCGUUUUAAAACGAUAACGACAACGGGAAUAGGGGCGAUUAUAUUUCACAAAAAUACUUAUAAUGUAGCGAAGAAAACGGGCUUAAAUAAUUAAAACACGCAAGAUUGCAACUAACAUAUUGUUGGUUGUUAUUCUUAAGAAUGUGAAGGUUGCUGUGUUAGCGAAUGAAAGUUGAAAAUUUACAACUUCUGUGCGUCUUCGAAUCCGAGUUCGAAUUUCGGAGCGUUGGUUGUGAAAACAUGCGAAAGCUAUGUAGAUCAUAUCAUCUAAUAAGAACAUGUGUAUUCAACUCAACUGUCAAACGUUCGCAUUCGCAUUCGCGAGCUAUGGCCGAUGUUCAUUUGAAAAUAAAAUUUUAAGUGAAUGGAUUUAUACGUGUGUGCACAGCAAAGGAGGAGCAAGGAGGUGACGGUGAAAUUGGUGGAGGUUUAUGGAUUCAGAAUUGGUGUAAUACAUAACAACAACAACGCAGAAAACAAUGGAAAAUAACACGCCGAGUCCACAACAGCGCGCCACGCAUCUCUCCUUUUGUUAGUUAGGCGUCAAUUGGUAAUACCAAGUGAAGAUAGGUCCUUCUCCACCUGGUCCUUCCAUCGGAGUGGAGGUCUUCCUCUUCCUCGGCUUCCACCAGCGGGUACCGCAUCGAAAACUUUCAGAGCUGAGACACUUUCGUCCGUUCGAACAACAUGACCAAGCCCGCGUAGCCGCUGUCUUUUUAUUCGCUGGACUAUGCCUAUGUCGUCGAACAACACAUACAGCUCAUCAUUUCAUCUUCUGCGGUUCGCUAAUGUUUAAGGGACCAUAAAUCUUCCGCAAAACCUUUCUCUCGAAAACUCCUAGUGCCGUCUCAUCGGAUGUUGACACCGUCCACGCUUCUGCACCAUAAAGUAGGACGGGAAUGAUGAGGGACUUGUAGAGUUUACUCAGUCCAUAAACACAAAUACUUUGCACAAAUGGAGGCUUACAAUAGCUACAACUUUUCUUAGGCAUGAUAAGCAAGACAACAACAAAUCCCAUCGGACAUUUAGGUUAGCAGUUGACAACCUCUUUCCGACUAUCUGAACCCUUUUAUGAUGUACAUAUGAGAUAGGAUUGUGUGGAAUUGACAUCAAACAAUAUUGGUUGAGUAGUUUCGUUUUAACCUUACAGAUUAGAUAUAAGGAAAUCGUUCGCGUUUAGUACUAAUGUAUUCAUUUUGAAUUAUGAAUUGAUAUAAAUUAUGAAUUAGAUUUAAAUGUAAAAUAUUGUUAAAUUAUACAAAUGAAUGUUCGAAUACUAAUAACAGUCGUAAUAGUAGUUGAAUUUUAUUUGUAUUGUAUAACAACAACUACAAAAUAUAAAAAUUUAAUAAUUAAUACUAACUUAAUUUGUAAAAUAUAUAAAUUUUAUCUAUGUAUAAAUGAUAGCUGCAAACACGUUUGU